CGCGGGGAAGUGUAACGGUUGCACACGAGGCUCAUAAUCUCGAGGCAGUAGGUUCAAUUCCUACCCCCGCAA
rnacentral:tRNA from 1 species